GAUGAACGCUGACAGCAUGCUUAACACAUGCGAGUCGAUGGGGAAGUGGUGCUUGCACCAUGGCAACCAUGGCGGACGGGUGAGUAACGCGUAAGGGACUUACCUGCAGGACUGGGAUAACAGGGGGAAACUCCUGACAAGACCGGAUAAUGUCAUGGAGCUGCAUGGCUUUAUGAUGAAAGGAGACGCCUGCGGAGAGCCUUGCGUCCUAUUAGCUAGUUGGUGAGGUAAUGGCUCACCAAGGCGAAGAUAGGUAGCCGGCCUGAGAGGGUGGACGGCCACAAGGGGACUGAGAUACGGCCCUUACUCCUACGGGAGGCAGCAGUGGGGAAUAUUGGACAAUGGGGGCAACCCUGAUCCAGCAAUUCUGUGUGCACGAAGAAGGUUUUCGGAGUGUAAAGUGCUUUCAGCAGGGAAGAAGUAAGUGACGGUACCUGCAGAAGAAGCGACGGCUAAAUACGUG
rnacentral:rRNA from 1 species